AUGGCCAUGGGCGGCGGUGGAGGUGGAGGUGCGGUCCUGGAGCAAGAGGACUCAGUGCUGUUCCGGCGAGGUACAGGCCAGAGUGAUGAUUCUGAUAUUUGGGACGAUACGGCAUUGAUAAAAGCUUAUGAUAAAGCUGUGGCUUCAUUUAAGUGGAAAGUUGGUGACAAAUGUUCUGCCAUUUGGUCGGAAGAUGGUUGCGUUUACCCAGCUACCAUUGCCUCGGUUGAUUUUAAGAGAGAAACCUGUGUUGUGGUUUACACUGGAUAUGGAAAUAGAGAGGAGCAAAAUCUGUCUGAUCUACUUUCCCCAACCUCUGAAGUAACUAAUAAUAUAGAACGGAAUGCUCAAGAGAAUGGAAAUGAAAGUCAAGUCUCAACAGAUGAAAGUGAGAACUCCAGGUCUCCUGGAAAUAAAUCAAAUAACAUCAAGUCAAAAACUACUCCAUGGAACUCUUUUCUCCCUCCACCUCCCCCCAUGCCAGGGUCAGGACUGGGACUAGGAAAGCCAGGUUUAAAAUUCAAUGGCCCGCCGCCACCGCUGCCGCCACCACCACCCUCCUGUCAUGCUGGCUGCCUCCAUUUCCUUCUGCCCCACCAAUAAUUCCCCCACCACCUCCCAUAUGUCCAGAUUCUCUUGAUGAUACUGAUGCUUUGGGAAGUAUGUUAAUCUCUUGGUACAUGAGUGGCUAUCAUACUGGCUAUUAUAUGGGUUUUAGACAAAAUCAAAAAGAAGGACGGUAUUCACAUUCCAGUUAAGGAGAAAUACUGAGGAUAGAGCAACAAGUUAAAUGGCACCACUAAAGAAAUGAUCAGACAGGUCCAGAAUGUGGAAUGCUGUAAAAGAUAAUGACCUUGUUUCUUCAAAAUAUCAGAGUUGGGAAGGAAAAAAGGAGGUGCGAAUGGGUAACUGUUCUGGAUUUAAAGUUGCUUAAGAGGCAUAACCAAAUGCAAUGUGGAAUCCUUGAUUGGACCCUAUUUUAAAAAACACCUGACUUCAGGUAGGGGAAAUUGAGAAAAUGAAUAUGGACUGGAUUUUAAAUGAUAUUAGACAAUUA